ACACACACACACACACACACACACACACACACACACAACACACACACACACACACACACACACACACACACACACACACACACACCCAUAUGCAGGUCACCGGUACAGGCAGGUGAGGACGACGAACCACGGCAGUUCUACAGAGGCGCCCAUUGUGGUCACAAGUUCAAGAUGAGGUUCCAGCUGAUAAUGAUUAUGGUAAUUACUAUGAUGGUUCAUCUCGCUGCGAGCUUCAGCCUUUGGGACCUUUUCUUCAAAAGGCCGUCGCGGUUCAGGUCGAGAGUAUCACGAAACAGGCCUUCGUGGAUGCCGCACCUUGAGAACUACGGGUACUGGAAUGGCUACGAUAUUGACGGAUAUACAUCGAGUGGAUAAGAAAGAUCGUCAGUUCAGCCAUCUGGUUCGUCUCCGUCAGAUGGAAUAGAUUACGUUCUGAGACGUCCAGCUGCAUCAUAAGUGUUGUUAUGUUGAUUGUUAUGUUGUUGAAUAAUUUAUUUAUAUAUGCCCUUCUAACUUUCUGUUUUUAUUUUCUUAAUUUAUUGUUCACUCUGAAAGAACAUGAUUUUCCUAAGCAUAACAUGUUUCAAAAUAUUAACAGAGUUCUUGCAUGCUAACUGUCAGUCCUGGGUUAAUUUGCAUAAGUGUGUAAGUUAAUAUCUAUGAUUCAUAUUUUAAGAAAUCAAAAUAUAUUUUUCGCUUUGAUGUUAGUUUUAUAACCUUUUUAAGAAAACAAAAAUCGUAGGUAAAUAUCCUUCCUAGCUUAAGGCCGUGUCACACCAGCACUUUUUCCGUAAUUUUUUUGCUAAUUUUAUCUAACAUAAGUAUAAACAUUCUCGAAUUUAACUCUUGAUUUGAGUAUGCUUGGCUGAAAAAGUUGACGUUAAGGUUUUCAGACGGAAACGAUCAUUUUCGCCUGACUGGAAAAUCGAAAAUUCGCUCAAAAAUGGACAAAAUUUCAGAAAAUUGUCAAAAAAUUGACGGAAAAAGCGCUAGUGUGACAGCACCUUUAAUGAACCCAUGGAUGCACCCGUACACAUAUACUAACACACAUACACGCUUUAUACCUACACACAUACAUACACACAUCUAUCCAGCCACUCAUCUUUUAUAUAUCAUUCACCACGGUGAUAUACAUCACUGUUAUAAUCUUCACAAUGCGGUAGGCCUGUGUGAAUACUUAUUUGUGUAUGCUUGCUUAUGUGUGGAUCAAAUCACAUUAUAACCUCCAUAAUAGCCACUUUUAUGACUCUCACUUGUGCCCAAAACCUUCCCAGUUAUUCUUCAGUACAUGCAAGUACCAUGUGUCACUCUGACAGGUCAUACUCGGCUUGCAUGAACAUUCCCACUACGCUGAUAAUUAGCAAUUCCGAUGCUGUUUGUCUAUGCACAUCUGCCCGAAAAAGAAUGACAAUGCAGUCUUUUUUUGUCAUUAGGAUAUGCAUGACUCUUUGGUUUUCCAGGAGACUGACUCAUGUAUUACGUAUCUGUGCAUCGGUCAGUUCCAGGUAAAAACAUUUCCCACUAAAUGAAAUGGAAGUAGUCACAAUGUCUCAAUUUCCUAUUGUCCUCUUUGCGAUUUCCGUCUUUCUUGGCAUUCCGACCAAAUUAGUGCACCUGUGUCAGAUAUUGCUGUGAGC
rnacentral:lncRNA from 1 species